CAACAGGAAUCUCAUUAAAAGAAAAAUUUUCUUGAAUGUCAUCACUCACAGAGGAAUCCACUACCACAGCAUUGCUAAUAUGCUUUCUAAGCAUGGAGACAUGGAAUAUUGGAUGAACAGAGGACAACUCGGAAGGCAACUCGACCUCAUAAGCUACCUUACCAACACGGCUAAGAAUUUUGUAAGGACCAACAUAACGGGGACUAAGCUUCCCCUUCUUU
rnacentral:lncRNA from 1 species